rnacentral:lncRNA from 1 species
AAAAUAUUGGCUCCCUUAUAAAAUAGUCAUUAUUAGAACAGAGGGCAGAAACCUAAAAAAAAUCCAUGUGUUUUAAUUUCUUAUAGAAUUGUUAAUUCUUUGCAUUAUAAUUGUUUUUUUGUUUGUUUGUUUUUUUGUCACAAACUAAAUACCAUAUGUUUAUAUGACAAUACAAAUAUUAUCAAAUUUUGUUGAAUUAAUG